rnacentral:rRNA from 1 species
CGAACGGCACCUACCUUCGGAUAGAAGCGAGUGGCGAACGGCUGAGUAACACGUGGAGAACCUGCCCCCUCCCCCGGGAUAGCCGCCCGAAAGGACGGGUAAUACCGGAUACCCCGGGGUGCCGCAUGGCACCCCGGCUAAAGCCCCGACGGGAGGGGAUGGCUCCGCGGCCCAUCAGGUAGACGGCGGGGUGACGGCCCACCGUGCCGACAACGGGUAGCCGGGUUGAGAGACCGACCGGCCAGAUUGGGACUGAGACACGGCCCAG